CAAGACAGAGCUUAUUGUUCUCUGAACUUCCUUGUUUGCUGAACGGCAGGUAAAGUGCAUCUUUUUGUUUGUUUGCUUUUGUGUGUUUGUGUUUUCUCUAAUGGGCCUCAGAUGACUGUUUGCUUAAAUUUGGGUCUCAAAGAAUCUUUUUUUAAUUCUGCCUGUACUCUCCACCCCUCUUCUUCUAUUGCUCAGGUUGAAGCAGAAUUUGCCCGUCUUACAUCUGUUGACCUGAAAGGGUUCCUUUUUGCUGUGCUUGACCAUUAUGGAGAGGUUCGUGGAGCUGUACAAAAUCAAGAGCGGCAUAGAAAGGCUAACUAGGCUCAUAAGAUGCUUCGGAGAUGAUAGCCCUACACAAAGGAAGAGGACAGAGGACCUCAUUUUCUAAAGGAAGAUCCCUCACACACUUUCAAGACUGUGAAGCCGACAGGUAUUGAAGACACGUUUUCUAAGAGGAUGAAAGUUGGCAUUGCGAUGGUGAAAGAAGAAGACAUCGAUGUGUUGGUUGUCCUUGAGGCAGCAGUAAUCCUGUCUAAUCUGAGGGAUGUCUCAAGUGCCAUUUCCAUGCUGAUGGGCCUUCUUUUUGCCCUCAACAUACACUAUCCAAAGGAACUUAAGGACAUCUUUGAAGUCAUUCAGAACAUCCUAAUGAACAUUGGUGGAAGGCAGUGCAUCUCACUAGUGCAUGGUCUAAGAAACAGACUCUUGCAGAAAGCCAUGCAGAACUGUAAUUGUAUGAUCCUUAGUGUUAAGGACAGUUUUUAUUUUACUGUUUGUUUUUUUAUUCUUGCAAGUUCUCAUUCUCA